rnacentral:rRNA from 1 species
AUACUGAUAGUGGCGCACGGGUGCGUAACACGUAACUAACCUACCCAUCAUUGGGGGAUAGCCCGCCGAAAGGCGGAUUAAUACCGCAUAAGACUAUAGAGCGGCAUCGCUURGUAGUUAAAGAUUUAUUGAUGAUGGAUGGGGUUGCGGGUCAUUAGCUAGUUGGUAAGGUAACGGCUUACCAAGGCGACGAUGACUAGGGGAGCUGAGAGGCUGGUCCCCCACACGGGCACUGAGAUACGGGCCCGACUCCUACGGGAGGCAGCAGUAGGGAAUAUUGGGCAAUGGGCGAGAGCCUGACCCAGCCAUGCCGCGUGCAGGAAGAAGGCUUUCUGAGUCGUAAACUGCUUUUGACAGGGAAGAAUAAGCUUCACGUGUGAAGUGAUGACGGUACMUGCAGAAUAAGCACCGGC